AUGCACCGAAGCUGCGGCAGCGACGCUUAUGCGUUGUUGGGUAGGGGAGCGUUCUGUAAGCCUGUGAAGGUGUACUGUGAGGUAUGCUGGAGGUAUCAGAAGUGCGAAUGCUGACAUAAGUAACGAUAAAGCGGGUGAAAAGCCCGCUCGCCGGAAGACCAAGGGUUCCUGUCCAACGUUAAUCGGGGCAGGGUGAGUCGACCCCUAAGGCGAGGCCGAAAGGCGUAGUCGAUGGGAAACAGGUUAAUAUUCCUGUACUUGGUGUUACUGCGAAGGGGGGACGGAGAAGGCUAUGUUGGCCGGGCGACGGUUGUCCCGGUUUAAGCGUGUAGGCUGGUUUUCCAGGCAAAUCCGGAAAAUCAAGGCUGAGGCGUGAUGACGAGGCACUACGGUGCUGAAGCAACAAAUGCCCUGCUUCCAGGAAAAGCCUCUAAGCAUCAGGUAACAUCAAAUCGUACCCCAAACCGACACAGGUGGUCAGGUAGAGAAUACCAAGGCGCUUGAGAGAACUCGGGUGAAGGAACUAGGCAAAAUGGUGCCGUAACUUCGGGAGAAGGCACGCUGAUAUGUAGGUGAAGUCCCUCGCGGAUGGAGCUGAAAUCAGUCGAAGAUACCAGCUGGCUGCAACUGUUUAUUAAAAACACAGCACUGUGCAAACACGAAAGUGGACGUAUACGGUGUGACGCCUGCCCGGUGCCGGAAGGUUAAUUGAUGGGGUCAGCGCAAGCGAAGCUCUUGAUCGAAGCCCCGGUAAACGGCGGCCGUAACUAUAACGGUCCUAAGGUAGCGAAAUUCCUUGUCGGGUAAGUUCCGACCUGCACGAAUGGCGUAAUGAUGGCCAGGCUGUCUCCACCCGAGACUCAGUGAAAUUGAACUCGCUGUGAAGAUGCAGUGUACCCGCGGCAAGACGGAAAGACCCCGUGAACCUUUACUAUAGCUUGACACUGAACAUUGAGCCUUGAUGUGUAGGAUAGGUGGGAGGCUUUGAAGUGUGGACGCCAGUCUGCAUGGAGCCGACCUUGAAAUACCACCCUUUAAUGUUUGAUGUUCUAACGUUGACCCGUAAUCCGGGUUGCGGACAGUGUCUGGUGGGUAGUUUGACUGGGGCGGUCUCCUCCUAAAGAGUAACGGAGGAGCACGAAGGUUGGCUAAUCCUGGUCGGACAUCAGGAGGUUAGUGCAAUGGCAUAAGCCAGCUUGACUGCGAGCGUGACGGCGCGAGCAGGUGCGAAAGCAGGUCAUAGUGAUCCGGUGGUUCUGAAUGGAAGGGCCAUCGCUCAACGGAUAAAAGGUACUCCGGGGAUAACAGGCUGAUACCGCCCAAGAG
rnacentral:rRNA from 1 species